rnacentral:rRNA from 1 species
UACGUAGGGUGCGAGCGUUAUUCGGAAUUACUGGGCGUAAAGCGCGCGUAGGCGGCCCGGUAAGUCCGCUGUGAAAGUCAAAGGCUCAACCUUUGAAUGUCAGCGGAUACUGCCGGGCUAGAGUCCGGAAGAGGCGAGUGGAACUCCUGGUGUAGCGGUGGAAUGCGCAGAUAUCAGGAAGAACACCGGUGGCGAAGGCGGGUCUCUGGGCAGUAACUGACGCUGAGGAGCGAAAGCGUGGGGAGCGAACAGG